AAAUGCGAUAAGUAGUGUGAAUUGCAGAAUUCAGUGAAUCAUCGAAUCUUUGAACGCACAUUGCGCCCCUCGGUAUUCCGUGGGGCAUGUCUGUUCGAGCGUCAUCUACACCCUCAAGCUCUGCUUGGUGUUGGGCGUCUGUCCCGCCUCCUUCGCGCGCGGACUCGCCCCAAAUCCAUUGGCGGCGGCCCUUGCCUCCCUCUCGCGCAGCACAUUGCGCUUCUCGAGGCGCGGCGGACCGCGUCCAGCAAGCAACCGUCACACCGUCUUUGACCUCGGAUCAGGUAGGGAUACCCGCUGAACUUAAGC
rnacentral:misc_RNA from 1 species